UUUAAGAACAAUCUUUCACACUGUGAUAAACUUUCUCAUGCUAAAACACAUGCACAGACAGACAAACAACAUGCUUUCCAUGUGGCUGGAAAUAGCCCUCCAUGCCCUUGCUCCUCAUUAAUGAAGGAUAUUCCAUCUUCCCCUGCUCUGCUCAUCUUCUUCAGCUGGCUGUUCCAUAAUCAUUUCCAUGACAGUUUAUGAUGAUGUCAUAAGCAUGACGAUUUAAGAAUAAGAGUUCUACUUUGGUAGACUUAGGUAGCUUUGAGUAUAAUUAUCUUCAGUAAUAAUAGAGGAAACAGGAGAUUAGAGGCCAAGAAUCAGAAUAUUAGCCAGUUGCCAUUCUCUAGGAGGAGCUGAUCUGUUGUACCUUCUAUGCAAAUAAUGAGGCAGCCAGGUCAGGAUGAUAAGAACACACACAAAAAUCCAGCAGCAGCCAAAGGGCAGUGAGACCAGCUAUGCAGCAGGACUAGCCUUUCUGCCAGCAGAUUACUGCAAGAGGCAGUGCUAAGAAGGAUGAGCUACUGAAGUUUCCUACGAGCUCCCUUUUCCGUGACCUAUAUCGGAAGGUCAUCCUGUGCUGGACAUCUUGGACACUAUCACAGGGUUAGGAGAGCAGCCAGUUGGAAGACUAAGUGGAAAACCUGCCUUGAAAAAUAAUCACUGACUAAUUUUAUGUCACGAGUAUUUGGGGGUAGGAAAAUACACACUGUGCACAUGAUUUGGGUGUCCUCUCUCUACAAGCUGGUUUUGUGGUGUCAGAAAGCUUGAAUAAUUUGUCAAGAAACCUGAAGUGGAAGAUUCCCAUAUCAGGUCAGGUGACAAACUAUCGUAUUAUGUCAGGUGAUAGACUUGGAGACGUGGGACAAACCUACGUAGCCCCUUUCCCCUCCAAGUGUCACACCUGGCCAUUAAAGGUCGGGUCAGAAUGGGUCCAAAGGCAUCCAGUUGUUCAGGAAUGCUGUCCCAGUGGCUGACCCCCAGCUGCUGCCCCCCGGGAUGUUGUUCCAAGCUAGCUUCCAGGUUGAGAUGCCACAGGUUGGUGUGGGCUGGGGAAGUGUUGGGUGGGGUGAAAGGGGGAUCAUGAGCUUGUUUUUGUAUGAGAUUUGAUGCAUCUGAGAGUAUGAAGCCUUGGCUAUCAGUGCUGACGUCAUGGCCAAAUU